ACCACAGAUGCAUCUAAUGAGCUCGCAAAUUUCUUCGCACAUUUUUAUAUUUCCAAUGCUCCAAUCUUUGUCCUCAAACACAGCUAUUUAAAUGGAAUCAAUUCCUUGCCUUAAGAUUAAACCAGCAAGCAACCCCCUGUCUCAACAUAGAGAUUAGAUUCCAGGUUCAGUCUGGAAAGGUGACAAUCCACUGCAUUUCCCCACUUGUCAAUCAAGUAUCAUGAUCAUAUUGCAAGGUUCGAUUAUCUCGAUCAUCAUCACUGUCAUCUAAACAACUCCAAUCAAAUAUGGUAAAAAUCGUGUCAACUAAAGAGAGGAAUUUCAAGUUGAGAAGGCUCCAUGGAAGGAUUGAAUAGAAUUUACAACCAGAUAUCAGCCUAUAUCAACCCUUUAGAAGUUGGUGUCUAAUACCACGGUGUGCUUAUUGAGGCAUUCUGAGGCCCAGCCUUGCAUUGGACCGGCCUGAACCGCAGAAGCCAGCCCCAUUGUGCGGCACGCGCGGUGCACGUGCAAGAGAAACGGCGAUGAAAAUGGACUCAUAGGGCCGCCGGACUCGGGCGGAACCCUAGGAAGUCUUCCAUCCCCUCCCUCCGUGACCCUCCGCCACCAGGCACCACCUCUCGCCUUCUCUGUUUUUCCCCCUUCAAUUCAUUGUGUCCCGUCAUUGUGCCCACCAGAAUUGCGGCCAUGAAUCUCGUUGGAGACGAGGGCCUCAGCUUCUCCCCGAAGCCCCACCCACCAGCGAGCGGCCUGGGACCCAAAAACGGCCGAGCAAAGGGCCCCCUGUUUGGCCCUAUGUUUGGUUAAUUUCCGCGCCUCUUCCCGCCGGUCGCCAUCGCCGGCCAUGCCUCACCGCCUUCCGCCGGACCUCCGGCUUUGCCGCACAAAGGAAAAGUGCUGUAGCUGCAGAGGACAUGAAUGAUUACUCUGAUCCAAGGGGCCAGGGAGCGAAGACACAGUAAUACACUCUUUCCAUGGUACGGGAGUUGAAUCCAUAUGUGCUUCCUACAUUGUAGGACGAAUCAGUAGAAAUACACACAGUAAAUCACAUUUACUUACCCAGAUCCAGAAGAAAAAUGCAACACGUAGAGUGUUGAACUGGGCUGGCUUUUGGGCCUUAUCUGGCCUCAAGCUCGGGCACGGGCUAAUUAAUUCCUAAAACCGGCUCGAAAAUAAAUGAGCUCUAUAUUUAACUAUUUAAGCACAAGUCCUAUGUGAACUUUUUCGAGCCUUGCCCGUAGCCCGACCCAAAGCCGGCCCAGCUCGAGCUCAAUUCUAGCCCUACUUGUUUCUCUCCCUCUACUUGCUACUUGAUUCAUGGGUCCAGUAUAGUGUCCCGUCUACCUUUUCUGUGUGGACCUAAGUUGAUCCUAGGAAAGUGGCCUUGAAACGUCUUGGUACUCGGGCAGCAUGUCGGAUUGAUCAUCUCGGUCUUUGUUGAGUAUCCCUGAAACUCACUAUUGAAGAUUCUUGUUGAAUGCUUUUAGCCUUAAUGAAGUCCUUGCUUCAUGACUUAUCAAUCAAAUUGUUUAGAUCUGACCCACUCGGAGCUGCCAAAUGCCGUCAAAUGACCAAUCUUUCCCUUUUUUUCUCUCUCUUCAAAAUUUAAUUACCAAUGAACUUAUUAAAUAUGAAUUAAUUGGGCUAUGCAUAGCUUUCAAUAUGUUCAGGUGAUUCGCAUAGUUAAAUUUUGAGAGUUUAAUGUGAAAAAGAUAAGUAACCCAUACACUCCUUACUAGUUUUCAAAUUACUAGCCGUUUUUAAUACUUCAAACUUUAUAGAAGAUGAAGAUGAUGUUCGACAUUAAUGUUUCGUAUUUUUAAAAAAAUUAAGGAUCGAGCAUAUGUUAUUAUGAAACUCAUAAUGUGUCAUAAAAGAAUGGUUCCAUGAAUACUUUAAUAUUAAUGAUUUAUUUAGAACUAUGAAAUCUAUAAUACUAUUUAGUGCUUUUCAACCUAUUUAUUUAUAUAUGAUUUAAGAACAUAUGUUUCAAGAAAUUACAAUUUAAGAAAAUAUGAUUCAAGAAAAAAUAAUUAAGAAAAAAUGUUUUAAAAAGAUACAGUAAAAAGCUCUCAAAUAAUUAUAUAUGGCUCCUAAAAGUUAGAUAAAUCGACAUCCGGAGCUAGUUCUAUACAAUUGUGUUAGUCGGUAAUAGUAGUUGGCAUACAAUCCUCCCGAUAGAUAAUAAUAGUUGACGUACGGCCUAGGCAAAUAAUACUAGUUGCUAUAUAAUUUUGCCAAUGGGUAAUAGUAGUUGUUAUCCGAGUUUCUGCUUGGAAGCUAUAUUUGUGUGCCAGAAAUCUGUCAGCUGGCUGAUGCAUCAGCUAACAUGAGAUAUGUUCUACUCGAUCUGGCUCGAUAGGGCUUGACCUGUGAGUUCCUAUCCUUAUAAGGUUCACUCUCUUGCAUUGGUGAUAUAUAUCCAUCUGUUGUUCUUUAUUUAGCUGUCCUUGUGAAUCCAGAAAAAAUUUCUGAAGUCCUUGUUCUUUAUUUAACAGUCCUUGUGAAUGAAUCGUAAGGACCGGCACUCGAAAUUAAUGCAUUUGUUUCCUUCUUUUCUGCUGCAUGAUAAUAAACUUUUUGAUGUUUUUCUGUAUUCCCUAGAUGAUCUGAUUCAUUUUGAUUGUGAACUGAAAAUAUUUUGAUCAUUCAGUUGGUCCUGCACAAAAUAAAUUAAAAAACAGACCUUUCAAAAAAUAAGCACCUUACCCAACAGCUUUGUGAAGAUCAAAAUGCCUUGCAAAUAUUAUAGUUUAAUUUGAUGAUUACACAGUAAUAGCUGUUAUUUGAUUAAAAAUGGGCAGUCCAUCAGAUUUCAUUUAGAGUGGAACACAUACAUCAGGGAAAAAAUCAGGAAAAAGUCAUCCCACUCAUUAAAAGAGCUGGUGGAGUACAAAGAAAUAAAAAGGAAAAAUUAGAGAUGUGAAUGAGAGAGAUAAAAGAGGUCAGAUGAGUUCCAUCUAGAGUCUGUAACACCUCAUCUCGCAACUCUGAAUUCAAAACCAAAAUCCAAUGCAAGAUGAAAGACAACACUAUUUCCAUGCUCAAGUUUUUAGAAAAACGAAAACAGACCUUGCGAGGAUGGAAUAUUAUGUAUUUUCAAUAUUUCAGUAUUUGCUAGGUAUGAUCAAAACUACAGAAAGGAUAUCUACAUCAAACAAAAAUAGAGGAGUCCGAUGUAACAUAUAAUCUGCAAAUCUAUUUUAUGUAUCAGUUGAAUCCAUCUGAUGCUCUAAGUUUAGCCAUUUGCACCCUUGAACAGAUCAAAGUUGUCAUGUAUAACAUUCUUUGUAAUUAUUUUGAUUUCA